UGCAGAGGCCUAUUGUAACCCCAUUCUUCA
rnacentral:piRNA from 1 species